GGGUGCGAUCAUACCAACGUUAAUGCACUAGAUCCCAUUAGAACACCACAGUUAAGCGGGCUUGGGCUAGAGUAGUACUGGGAUGUUUGACCUCCUAGGAAGUCCUAGUGUUGCACCCU
rnacentral:rRNA from 1 species